rnacentral:rRNA from 1 species
GAUGAACGCUGGCGGCAUGCCUAACACAUGCCAGUCGAUCGGUAAGGCUCUUCGGAGUACACGAGAGGCGGACGGCUGAGUAACGCGUAGGAACACACCCUGCAGUGAGGGAUAAGACACCGAAAGGUGUUCUAAUACCGCAUACGGUCUUCGGAUUAAAGCAUUUAUGCGCUGAAGGAGUGGCCUGCGUCAUAUUAGAUAGUUGGUGAGGUAAUGGCUCACCAAGUCGAUGAUGUGUAGCUGGUCUGAGAGGAUGAUCAGCCAGACUGGAACUGAGACACGGUCCAGACUCCUACGGGAGGCAGCAGUGAGGAAUAUUUCACAAUGAGCGAAAGCUUGAUGGAGCAAUGCCGCGUGCAGGAUGAAGGCCCUCGGGUUGUAAACUGCUUUUAUAAGAGAAGAUUAUGACGGUAACUUAUGGAUAAGGGACGGCUAACUACGUG